rnacentral:snRNA from 9 species
AUACUUACCCAGCGUAGAGGGAUACCGUGAUCAUGCAGGCGGUUCCCCCAAGGCGAGGCUGCUUCACUGCACUGCGGAGUGGUUGACCCUUGCGAUUAUUUUUACGAUUAUCAAUAAAAAAAAUCAUAAUAAAAAUGUAUACCCGAAUAAUUAUUUU